rnacentral:lncRNA from 1 species
GGUUGUCUGUGGCCUGCCUGUACAUGGUCACCAUGUCUGCACCAAGAGAGAGAGACUCCAGGAAGCCCAAAGGACCAGUGAUACAGACUCAGUGAGGCACACGGGCCCCUCCUGCAGAAGGAAGCGGGCUUUCCUGAUGUUUGCCUUAACCUGACCUCACUGCACAUUACACAAAGAGGAAGAAGGGCCACCCUGCUCAUCUCUCCAGGGCCGUGGCAACCCAGAGAGUACCGUGGCCUGUGCCUCCUAGGGCUGGGUGUUCACACCACACCACUGAGCAGGCCGCUUGAGUGGAGUGCACCUGGAGGUCACAUUCACUUGCUUCCUGGCAGCCACCCCAGCUCCAGCUGUGUUGCCUCCCUCCCUCCCCUUCCUGUCCCUCUCUUCCUUUCCUCCCCCUCAGCCUCCUUCCCACCCUUUUUUUUUUUUUUUUUUUUUUUUUUUUGCUGGCUUCUGUUCUUUCUUUCCAUGAGCAGAGAGUUUCCAGGCUUGGCCCACAGCCAGCACAUGUGGACAAAAGACAGCAAUCUUAGAGGGAGACGUCACCUUCCAUGCUGUCCACAGGGCCGGCACAGCCUAGUGAGGCUGCUCCCAAGGUUCUGGGGAAGGGGUGCUUUUAAUCGCAGGGAUUGAAAGCAGAGGAUCUGGAUGGGUCUGGACCCCAGGCUCUGAUUCCAACAAACCCCGAGAGCUGCAGGCCUUCUGGCAACUUCUUCCUUAUGCCCCAGACCUCUCGGUUUUACCAGCAAGUUUGCAAGACCUUGGAAAGGAUGACGUGAGGCUGCACCUGUGGGAUGCUCCGGCGCAUUCUGGGAGAAGUGCUCAAUAACUGUCUGCUGAGAUUUUUAAAACGAGCCUCAUCCUGGCAAGUGAUACUAGUAUUGAUGGCGCAGGGUCCUGAAUUGAUAAGGACCACGCACUCAACUCACUUAGAGGGCUGAUUAUUCCCAAGUUCUGUGAAACCUAAAAUACUCUCUCAGACCAGGCUGGAGGUGUAGUUCAAUGAUGGAGAGUACUCACCUAGCAUAAACAGUGCCCUGGGAUAAACUUCCAGCACCAUAACACCCAUCCUCCAGCCUCACGCUCACCCACCCACCAGCAAACUCUCAAGAAAUGGCCGUAGUGGCAAUGCGGCCCGAGAAUGUUUCGGUUAUUCCAAGAGCUGAGCCCCUUUCUUCUGCAGUAGAAGCAACGACACCCAGGACAUGCUGACCCUCAGCCUCUGUUCGCCAGGGGUCACUGAGCCUGCUGUCUGUCCUGACCUCCCCAGCCGGAGCUAUUUUUCAGUAUCUUGUGGGCUAAGGCCCGGCCGGGUCUGUCUGUUUACUAUCUUAGCCUGGUGUUUUUGUACUCAAAAAGUUUCGCAACGCCUGCGAGUACGUUCUUCUUCACUGGCUAAAUUCUGAGAUAUGAAAAAUGGUCUUUCACCUACAAUUUAGUUAAUCUGAGGCAGCAUGAAUGGAUUUGAAAUUGACCAAUAAACUCAAUCACCAAGUA